rnacentral:rRNA from 1 species
UACGUAGGCAGCGAGCGUUGUUCGGGAGUUACUAGGGCGUAAAGAGUGCGUUAGGCGGUUUUCUAAGUUUGGUGAUGAAACGUCCUACCCGGCUCAACUGGGAGGGUGCGACCGAAGACUGGAAGGCUUGAGUAGUGGGAGAGGUAACGCGGAAUUCCGGUGAUAGCGGUGAAAUGCGGUAGAUAUCGAGGAGGAACACCUGCGGUGUAGACGGCUUACUGGACCAUAACUGACGCUGAGGCACGAAAGCGUGGGUAGCAAACAGG